rnacentral:snRNA from 1 species
AAAAGAGAGUCAAAGAGUGC